ACGGUGGCCGGCUUCCGAGAGGUCGGUCUCCACGAGCGACUCCGAGUCUUUGUGGUUCCGGGCUGUGCGGUCCGAACGGGUAGAACUGACUCCUUUUGACAGAGGUCCUGCGGUGAACGGGGUCAUGGGAGGACGCAGGACGCCCAGCUGCCCAGCUUCGCAGCUCUCCUGACCCAGUCCUCGCGAAGAGCGAGGUCUGGAGCGUCGUAAAACCGUCGUAAAGUCCUGUCUUCGCCGCACGUCAGGUCCAGAACGUCGUAAAACGGUCGUAAAGUCCUGUCUUCGCCGCACGUCAGGACUCUGUGGCCUUUGAUGAUGUGGCAGUGUACCUCACCCAAGAGGAGUAGGAUCAAACUCAGAGAACUCUACAGGGAGAUGAUGCUGGAGAAGUGCCAGAACCUGUUCUCAGCAGGCAGGCAGCCACAAUGCUUGGGAACUCUGUGAUUGUGUGCAACAUAAAGAUAUCCUCAGAGAACAUUUAUAUUUUAAGAGGCAUAUGCAAACUGUAGACUCAAGGAACACCCGUGACUCUAAUCAGUGUGGAAUACUUUCCUACUCUGCACGAAAGAACAUCCAUGAGACAGGAGCUUUCUCUGUUGAAUCAGCUUAUAGGAGACUUUAAUAUGACCCCAAGUUCUACUCACCAGAAGACAGGCUUGUGGGACAAGUCUGUUGCAUGCACCGACUUUCUUAAUCAGUCAUAUUUUGACUCAGCACAUAUGAGAAUCCAUAAAGGAGAAAAAUUCUGUGAAUUGAAUCAAUUU